rnacentral:rRNA from 1 species
GACGAACGCUGGCGGCGCGCCUAACACAUGCAAGUCGAACGAGCGAGAGAGAGCUUGCUUUCUCGAGCGAGUGGCGAACGGGUGAGUAACGCGUGAGGAACCUGCCUCAAAGAGGGGGACAACAGUUGGAAACGACUGCUAAUACCGCAUAAGCCCACGACCCGGCAUCGGGUAGAGGGAAAAGGAGCAAUCCGCUUUGAGAUGGCCUCGCGUCCGAUUAGCUAGUUGGUGAGGUAACGGCCCACCAAGGCGACGAUCGGUAGCCGGACUGAGAGGUUGAACGGCCACAUUGGGACUGAGACACGGCCCAGACUCCUACGGGAGGCAGCAGUGGGGAAUAUUGCACAAUGGGGGAAACCCUGAUGCAGCGACGCCGCGUGGAGGAAGAAGGUCUUCGGAUUGUAAACUCCUGUUGUUGAGGAAGAUAAUGACGGUACUCAACAAGGAAGUGACGGCUAACUACG